AAGACUAUAGACCUGCGGAGUACCUGCGGAAGGAUCGUUAACGUAUCUAUGAUGGGGUGCGGAGCGCCCUGCUCCGGUCGAACGGCCGUGCAGCGGGUGCGCCGCCCCCGUCCCACCUCACAAACCCACUGUGAACAUUCACCGGUGGAGGGGGCUCGGUCUGCGCCGUGUCCCCGAUGCCGAAUACCCAAACUCCAGUUGCAAAGAACGUCGUGCGGACUCGGUGCCGCCUAAAACAUG
rnacentral:misc_RNA from 1 species